AUACGGAGGAUCCGAGCGUUAUCCGGAUUUAUUGGGUUUAAAGGGAGCGUAGGUGGGAUAUUAAGUCAGCUGUGAAAGUUUGGGGCUCAACCUUAAAAUUGCAGUUGAUACUGGUUUCCUUGAGUACGGUACAGGUGGGCGGAAUUCGUGGUGUAGCGGUGAAAUGCUUAGAUAUCACGAAGAACUCCGAUCGCGAAGGCAGCUCACCGGGCCGGAACUGACACUGAUGCUCGAAAGUGCGGGUAUCAAACAGGAUUAGAUACCCUGGUAGUCCGCACAGUAAACGAUGAAUACUCGCUGUUUGCGAUGCACGGUAAGCGGCCAAGCGAAAGCGUUAAGUAUUCCACCUGGGGAGUACGCCGGCAACGGUGAAACUCAAAUGAAUUGACGGGG
rnacentral:rRNA from 1 species